rnacentral:rRNA from 1 species
AUUGAACGCUGGCGGCAGGCCUAACACAUGCAAGUCGAACGGUAACAGGAAGAAGCUUGCUUCUUUGCUGACGAGUGGCGGACGGGUGGGUAAUGUCUGGGAAACUGCCUGAUGGAGGGGGAUAACUACUGGAAACGGUAGCUAAUACCGCAUAACGUGGCAACACCAAGGAGGGGGACCUUCGGUCCUCUUGCCAUCGGAUGUGCCCAGAUUGGGUUAGCUAGUAGGUGGGGUAAAGACUCACCUAGGCGACGAUCCCUAGCUGGUCUGAGAGGAUGACCAGCCAGACUGGAACUGAGACACGGUCCAGACUCCUACGGGAGGCAGCAGUGGGGAAUAUUGCACAAAGGGCGAAAGCCUGAUGCAGCCAUGCCGCGUGUAUGAAGAAGGCCUUCGGGUUGUAAAGUACUUUCAGCGGGGAGGAAGGGAGUAAAGUUAAUACCUCUGCUCAUUGACGUUACCAGCAGAAGAAGCACCGGCUAACUCCGUG